GGAUGUGAAGGCAAUCUGGCUGCGACAUCUGUCACUCCACAUGGCCAGGGUUGAUUCAGCUGAUCUGGCUGCAUGGGUGCCUGUCCCCUUGCUCUCUCACUACUGCAUCACUCCCAAAGCUGUACUUGGUCUAAGAGGAUCUCUCAACGUCCAAAGUAAAAAACUUGUAGGGCCCAUUUAUAAUUACUCUAUAAAAACUAAGUUUAAUCUAAUUUUGUUCUAAAUAGGAUUUGAAGUAACCAAU
rnacentral:snRNA from 1 species